GAUUGCAUUUAGACCUUAUCCUCUCUGUAAUCGCGGCUG
rfam:Parabacteroides sp. CAG:409 genomic scaffold, scf557